rnacentral:rRNA from 1 species
GUGAACGCUGGCGGCGUGCUUAAGACAUGCAAGUCGAACGAACAGCAGCUUGCUGCUGUUAGUGGCGCACGGGUGAGUAACGCGUAACUGACCUACCCCCAAGUCGUGGAUAACGGGCCGAAAGGUGCGCUAAUACAUGAUGUGCUGUCCGGUCUUGUCCGGCCAGUAAAGGUUCAUCUGCUUGGGGAUGGGGUUGCGUUCCAUCAGCUAGUUGGCGGGGUAAUGGCCCACCAAGGCAACGACGGAUCGCCGGCCUGAGAGGGUGGCCGGCCACGGGGGCACUGAGACACGGGUCCCACUCCUACGGGAGGCAGCAGUUAGGAAUCUUCCACAAUGGGCGCAAGCCUGAUGGAGCGACGCCGCGUGAGGGAUGAAGGUUUUCGGAUCGUAAACCUCUGAAUGGGGGACGAAAGGCCCGUAAGGGAGAUGACGGUACCCCAGUAAUAGCACCGGCUAACUCCGU